rnacentral:rRNA from 1 species
GAUGAACGCUGGCGGCGUGCCUAAUACAUGCAAGUCAAGCGAACAGAUGAGGAGCUUGCUCCUCUGACGUUAGCGGCGGACGGGUGAGUAACACGUGGAUAACCUACCUAUAAGAUUGGGAUAACUUCGGGAAACCGGAGCUAAUACCGGAUAAUAUAUUGAACCGCAUGGUUCAAUAGUGAAAGACGGUUUUGCUGUCACUUAUAGAUGGAUCCGCGCCGCAUUAGCUAGUUGGUAAGGUAACGGCUUACCAAGGCAACGAUGCGUAGCCGACCUGAGAGGGUGAUCGGCCACACUGGAACUGAGACACGGUCCAGACUCCUACGGGAGGCAGCAGUAGGGAAUCUUCCGCAAUGGGCGAAAGCCUGACGGAGCAACGCCGCGUGAGUGAUGAAGGUCUUCGGAUCGUAAAACUCUGUUAUUAGGGAAGAACAAAUGUGUAAGUAACUAUGCACGUCUUGACGGUACCUAAUCAGAAAGCCACGGCUAACUACGUG